CCUACGGGUGGCUGCAGUGAGGAAUUUUGGUCAAUGGCCGUAAGGCUGAACCAGCUAAUCCGCGUGAAGGAAGACGGAUCUAUGGUUUGUAAACUUCUUUUAUAGGGGAAUAAAGGUAUCCACGUGUGGAUAUUUGCAUUUACCCUAUUAUUAAGCUUCGGCUCACCACGUGCCAGCAGCCGCGGUGAUACGGAGGAUGCGAGCGUUAUCCGGAUUUAUUGGGUUUAAAGGGUGGGUAGGUUGUUUUUUAAGUCAGCGGUGAAAGUUUGUGGCUCAACCAUAAAAUUGCCGUUGAUACUGGAAGACUAGAGUGUGUUUGAGGUGGGCGGAAUGCGUGGUGUAGCAGUGAAAUGCAUAGAUAUCACGCAGAACUCCGAUUGCGAAGGCAGCUUACUGAGCCAUAACUGACACUGAAGCACGAAAGCGUGGGGAUCAAACAGGAUUAGAUACCCGAGUAGUC
rnacentral:rRNA from 1 species